rnacentral:lncRNA from 1 species
UAAAGAACUACCUGAGACUGGGUACUUAUGAAACAAAGAGAUUUAAUUGACUCACAGUUCAGCAGGCUGUACAGAAAGCAUGGCUAGGGAGUCCUCAGGAAAUGUACAGUCACGGUGGAAGGCAAAGGGGAAGUAGGCACAUCUUCCCAUGGCAGAGCAGGAGAGAGAGAAAGAGAGAGAGACAGAGAGAGAGAGAGAAGAGGGGAGGUGCUAUACACUUUCAAACAAUCAUAUCUCAUGAGAAUUCUAUCACAAGACAGCACUAGGGGGAUGGUGCUAAACCAUUAGAAACCACCCCCAUGAUCCAAUCACCUCCCACCAGGCCCCACCUCCAUCACUGCGAAUUAUAAUUCGACAUGAGAUUUGGGAGAUGACACAAAACCAAACCAUAUCAGUCUUUAAAGAGUUAAGUUAAAAUAAGCUCUUUAAAGUGGGCCCUAAUCCAGUAUGACUGGUGUUCUUAUAAGAAGAGGAGAUUUGGUCACAGACAUGGUUGCAUGCAGAAUAAAGACUUUUCGAGGACACACUGAGAAGGCAGCCAUCUGCAAAACAAGGAAAGAGUCCUCAGCAGAAACCAGUCCUGCAGACUCCUUGAUCUUGGACUUCCAGCCACUGCAAUUGAUGUCAAGCUUCAGCACCCUUGCAUCUCUGGAUAAAUGAAAUGUCACCCCAGCUGCCGUCCUUGUUCAGAUCUGUGCAAUAAAGAGCAAAGCAUAAAACCAAGUCAAGGCUUUGAGGGAGUGACCUACAAAAUGCAUAAUGUGAAACAAUGCAAAAGCGAAAGGUGCAAAAUCCCCAUCAAAGAGCUGGAGGCUGACAGAUGCGCCAGUGAUAAUUCCCAUCUUCCAACACAGGAGCACAGCUUCCAUUUUCCAUAACAGAACAACAGCCAGAGCAGCUGGAAGGCAGGGCCGCAUCCCAGACUUCCACCAACAAUGGGAUGAGACUUGACAUCUGGAAUCACAACCACAACAGACCUGAGAGACCCACCAGCUUGAUGACAAGCUUCUUCUUUCAAAGAAAGUUUUAGGCGGUCAUGACCAUGGGAUGCUGGACCAGGAUGGUAAGCUUCAGGAAACAGAAUCUGGAGAAUGCCCAGCUGCUCCCACAGGAAGCAUCAGGGAAGAAGAAGAAGAGGUGUGAAGUCUGCCUUCUGCUCUGCUGGGAUCCCUUUCACAUCUCCUUUGCCUCCAGGCAGUUUUGGUUCCUGGCCAUUUCCAGGUGUGACUCACUCAGGAUGGUAAGCAUCUUCUCUCCUACCCAGAGUAGAGGAUGAAGACCUCAUCUCAGAGGUUGAAGGGAGCUCCAGAGAGAGGUCUCAAACUUCCAGCAUUAACUGCUAAAGAAGCUUCAUGAGCUGCUGGAGAACCUGGGAAAUGACCAAUUAUAGGGACAGAGCUCAAAUACUCUGGGACACUCUAGUAGCUGAGAAAGUUCCAACUCCAGGGUGAUAGAGGACUGCCUGGCAAACCAUCAUCAAAGCAGAAGACCUGAUACUAACAUCACAGGCUAUGGUUUAUUACUGAAGAUCAGUGCUUACACCCUGCCAGAGGUUCAGAAGCAAACUUAUCAUUGUUCUCCCUGGAGAUGUUGGCCCACAUUCUGAAAAGUGUGGUCAGUAGUAGCAACAGAAAGCAAUUGUGCUUGCCAAGCACAAUGUCACUGUCCCCAGCCCUUCCCCCAACACAACCCAGUAGGUGCUUCCUGGCUGCAAACUUGGGAAAGUCACUUGACCUGUCUGAGGUUCCACUUCCUAAUCUGGCCUGGCGAAGAUAAGAAAAACAGUUUAUUUAAAGUGUCUAGCAAAGUGCUUGGACCAAAAUAGGACCUCUGAAAUGGUUAUGGUAGUGCUGUUAAGGUGAUGUUUUAAGUGCUGAUGAGCACAAAGAUGGGUAAGAUAUUCCUUCUGUUAAAAUCUACAGUCUAAUGAGAGAGAACAAGAUGAAUGCACAAUAACUGUCAUUCAGAACAGGAUUAUGAGAAGGUGUGAAUUUCUGUGAAAAAUCAGAACAGGGAGUAAUAUGAUCCCAGGUGAUUGGCAGGGGGUGGGGGUCUGGAUUCAACUGGAGAGGGAGCUGGCAGGGAAGGCUUCCUGGAGGAUGAGAGUUCAACAAGGGGCAGGUGUAGGAUGUGGGUGGCCAAGUGACUGGGCAGAAGGAGCUGCAGAAGUAAGACCCCAAAUCAGGAAGACAAGGGCCUGCUGAGAAACACGAGCUACAAAGUGCAAGUGCAGGAAGAGUUGGGAUGAGAUUAGAAGGGGGUCUGGGGCCAGACUGUGGAAGGCCCAAAUGCCGGGCUAAGGAGUUUGUACUUAAUUCAGUGGUCAACGGGGAGUCAUUGGAGGCUGUUGAGCAGGAGAGUUGCUUUCUUUACAGCUGUGCCAGACUAAAUUAAACCUAAACAGUACUUUAUAGCUGGAAAGGGAAGGCCCAGGAAUAGCUCUUGACUCAGAAACAGGCAUUGGGGAAGGUAAUGAGAAACAGCCGUGACUGAUCAAAGCAGAGAGGUUAAUUAAAUUUGUAAUUAUUGUGAAAGGCCAUUAAAAACCCUAGUUCACUAGAGAUAACUGCUCUAGUGGGGCUUCAAAGACAAACGCUUCUUUUAACCUUGAAUAGGGGGAUGUUUGCUUCUCUGUGGAGGAGAUAUGAUUAAGAUACUUAAUAAAUGGUAGAUAAACAUGCACACGUGUGUGUUCUCUGUAAACCCACUCUUCGUCCCUGCAUAUAUCUGUGUAGCUAUGUAGGGUGCUCCACAAGAGGGGUCCCCAGCCCCCAGGCCAUAGAGCGUUAUGGGUCCAUGACCUAUUAGGAACCAGGCCACACAGCAGGAGUUGAGCAGAGGGCAAGCAAGCAAAGCUUCAUCUGUAUUUACAGUC